UUGUGCUUUUAUCUUUAAUUUUUUUUUAAUGGUGUUGGGGUUUUUUUGUGUUUUUUGGGGGAGAGGGGGAGGGGUGUGUGUGAUGAUAAGUUAAAAGAUUUUAAUGAAAAAGUUUAUUGUUUACAACGGAGUAAUUAAAUCAAGAAAGAGAAUGAUUGCGUGAAAAAUAAUUAUAUUCAUCUGAUAUGUUUACAAGCUUUGUAUAAUAUCGAGGUGUAACUCCUCAGGUACAACCAUUUUACUGACCCCUUCAAUUUCAGCACAAAUAAACCGUAUUGCAGAUGAAUAGCAACUCCCAGUUCUACGCUUUACAAGUUUGAAAAUAAACGGUUGAUCUUUUAUCCUCUAGUAAUAUAGCCCUUUCUCAACUUUAGAAUCUUGGUUAAAUGAACAACCCCAGUCAUCUGAAAUAUUUUACCUAUUUAUUGGCAAAUUACCGUUUUUUUUCUUUUCAUUUAAGAUAAUUAUUCAUUUUCUAUUUGAUUAUAACUACUAUUAUAUAUUACAGUUCUUAUCGUGGUUUCUAUGAUUCUAUCUAUUUUCAAAAUUUGUAAUUUUGUUAUUUUGUUAUGUCCUCUGAUCUGAAAACAUGAAAUCGAACCGUAUUUGUUAUUUAAAAACAAUGAAAUAUCGUUCAUACAUCAUAUGAUAUUACGAACUGCUUUCAAUUUCGAUGGUCAAGGAGGGUGAUUGGCAUAAUGAGUUCAUAUAAAGUGAUAAAAAGCCUGCGGCAAUUUUAAGAUACGCUCGUGGCGAUAUUUG
rnacentral:lncRNA from 1 species